rnacentral:rRNA from 1 species
AAUGGGUCAGCGACUUAUAUUCUGUAGCAAGGUUAACCGAAUAGGGGAGCCGAAGGGAAACCGAGUCUUAACUGGGCGUUAAGUUGCAGGGUAUAGACCCGAAACCCGGUGAUCUAGCCAUGGGCAGGUUGAAGGUUGGGUAACACUAACUGGAGGACCGAACCGACUAAUGUUGAAAAAUUAGCGGAUGACUUGUGGCUGGGGGUGAAAGGCCAAUCAAACCGGGAGAUAGCUGGUUCUCCCCGAAAGCUAUUUAGGUAGCGCCUCGUGAAUUCAUCUCCGGGGGUAGAGCACUGUUUCGGCAAGGGGGUCAUCCCGACUUACCAACCCGAUGCAAACUGCGAAUACCGGAGAAUGUUAUCACGGGAGACACACGGCGGGUGCUAACGUCCGUCGUGAAGAGGGAAACAACCCAGACCGCCAGCUAAGGUCCCAAAGUCAUGGUUAAGUGGGAAACGAUGUGGGAAGGCCCAGACAGCCAGGAUGUUGGCUUAGAAGCAGCCAUCAUUUAAAGAAAGCGUAAUAGCUCACUGGUCGAGUCGGCCUGCGCGGAAGAUGUAACGGGGCUAAACCAUGCACCGAAGCUGCGGCAGCGACGCUGAUGCGUUGUUGGGUAGGGGAGCGUUCUGUAAGCCUGUGAAGGUGUGCUGUGAGGCAUGCUGGAGGUAUCAGAAGUGCGAAUGCUGACAUAAGUAACGAUAAAGCGGGUGAAAAGCCCGCUCGCCGGAAGACCAAGGGUUCCUGUCCAACGUUAAUCGGGGCAGGGUGAGUCGACCCCUAAGGCGAGGCCGAAAGGCGUAGUCGAUGGGAAACAGGUUAAUAUUCCUGUACUUGGUGUUACUGCGAAGGGGGGACGGAGAAGGCUAUGUUGGCCGGGCGACGGUUGUCCCGGUUUAAGCGUGUAGGCUGGUUUUCCAGGCAAAUCCGGAAAAUCAAGGCUGAGGCGUGAUGACGAGGCACUACGGUGCUGAAGCAACAAAUGCCCUGCUUCCAGGAAAAGCCUCUAAGCAUCAGGUAACAUCAAAUCGUACCCCAAACCGACACAGGUGGUCAGGUAGAGAAUACCAAGGCGCUUGAGAGAACUCGGGUGAAGGAACUAGGCAAAAUGGUGCCGUAACUUCGGGAGAAGGCACG